UGGUUUGAUUUAAGCGCGGAUGGCAUUAAUCCUUUCGGGGAGCAGAGCAGCAAUCACAUCACCUGGCCCGUGACUCUAUGUAUGUAUAACCUUCCUCCUUGGAUGUGCAUGAAGCGGAAGUUUAUUAUGAUGCCAGUUCUCAUCCAAGUCCCUAAGCAACCCGACAACGAAAUUGAUGUGUACCUAAGGCCAUUAGUUGAAGAACUUUUACAGCUGUGGAAUGGAAACGGUGUACGUACGUGGGAUGAGCACAGACAGGAGGAAUUUAACCUUAAGGUGUUGCUGUUCGUGACCAUCAACGAUUGGCCCGCUCUCAGUAACCUUUCAGCCCUUCCCUCUCUGCCUUGUUGA
rnacentral:rRNA from 1 species